GGUGUUUGGACUUUCUUUGUUAACGGACUUAACCACAUGGCACUUGUUUGUCACAACUCAAACCAUAUAACCUUACUUGAAAAUGGUGCAAGUCACAUGGUACUUUUUUGUACUUCUUCUUAGAUAAGAAUGGGUAGAUUUUGUCACUAUUUAAUCUAUAUCCAUGGGCACUUGGGCUGCAUGGAGUGAAAUCUGAAUGCUGAAUUAUCAAUGUAAUUGGAAUUGAAAGGUUGCAUCUUUUUUGUAUGUCUCUGAACUUGAAUAGUGGAAUUUCUUUUUAGCUCAUUUGGGCUCAGAUUUAUCUAAACGGAUUUGAACUGUCUGAAUAGUAGUAAGUCUCUUGAACAUGGUCCUAUAGUGUUCUUAUUGUAAAAUUUUGAUUAAAGCCAUCUGAAUUGCUGCAUGCAAGAAAUUUGCCUUAAAAAAGUAAAUAAAAUAACAAAAU
rnacentral:misc_RNA from 1 species